GAUGAACGCUAGCGGCAGGCCUAACACAUGCAAGUCGAGGGGGAGGUUACUUUCGGGUAACUGUGACCGGCUUACGAAUGCGUAACGCGUAUACAAUCUGCCUUUCACUGGGGUAUAGCCCGCAUCAAUUUGGAUUAAUACCCCAUAGUAUAGUAAUACGGCAUCGUGAUGCUAUUAAAGCUUAGGUGGUGAAAGAGGAGUAUGCGUUCGAUUAGCUAGUUGGUGAUGUAACUGCUCCCCAAGGAGAUGUUGGAUAGGGGUUCUGAGAGGGAUGUCCCCCACACUGGUACUGGCAUACGGACCAGACUCAUACGGGCGGGAGCAGUGAGGAAUAUUGGAGAAUGGUAGGAAGACUGAUGCAGCCAUGCCGCGUGCAGGAUGAAGGUGUUAUGGAUUGUAAACUGCGGGUGUAAGGGAAGUAUCAGCGGUAAGCGUAGGUUGAUGACGGUAACUGAUGAAUAAGCACCGGCUAACUACGUG
rnacentral:rRNA from 1 species